rnacentral:rRNA from 1 species
GGCCGGGGCGGCGUGCUUACCAUGCAGUCGAACGAUGAUGCCCAGCUUGCUGGGUGGAUUAGUGGCGAACGGGUGAGUAACACGUGAGUAACCUGCCCCUGACUCUGGGAUAAGCGUUGGAAACGACGUCUAAUACUGGAUAUGAUCACCGGCCGCAUGGUCUGGUGGUGGAAAGAUUUUUUGGUUGGGGAUGGACUCGCGGCCUAUCAGCUUGUUGGUGAGGUAAUGGCUCACCAAGGCGACGACGGGUAGCCGGCCUGAGAGGGUGACCGGCCACACUGGGACUGAGACACGGCCCAGACUCCUACGGGAGGCAGCAGUGGGGAAUAUUGCACAAUGGGCGAAAGCCUGAUGCAGCAACGCCGCGUGAGGGAUGACGGCCUUCGGGUUGUAAACCUCUUUUAGUAGGGAAGAAGCGAGAGUGACGGUACCUGCAGAAAAAGCACCGGCUAACUACGUGCCAGCAGCCGCGGUAAUACGUAGGGUGCAAGCGUUGUCCGGAAUUAUUGGGCGUAAAGAGCUCGUAGGCGGUUUGUCGCGUCUGCUGUGAAAUCCCGAGGCUCAACCUCGGGCUUGCAGUGGGUACGGGCAGACUAGAGUGCGGUAGGGGAGAUUGGAAUUCCUGGUGUAGCGGUGGAAUGCGCAGAUAUCAGGAGGAACACCGAUGGCGAAGGCAGAUCUCUGGGCCGUAACUGACGCUGAGGAGCGAAAGCAUGGGGAGCGAACAGGAUUAGAUACCCUGGUAGUCCAUGCCGUAAACGUUGGGCGCUAGAUGUAGGGACCUUUCCACGGUUUCUGUGUCGUAGCUAACGCAUUAAGCGCCCCGCCUGGGGAGUACGGCCGCAAGGCUAAAACUCAAAGGAAUUGACGGGGGCCCGCACAAGCGGCGGAGCAUGCGGAUUAAUUCGAUGCAACGCGAAGAACCUUACCAAGGCUUGACUUACCCC